rnacentral:rRNA from 1 species
UACGUAGGGUGCGAGCGUUGUCCGGAAUUAUUGGGCGUAAAGAGCUCGUAGGCGGUGUGUCGCGUCGGCCGUGAAAACCUGGGGCUCAACUCUGGGCGUGCGGUCGAUACGGGCAUCACUUGAGUUCGGCAGGGGAGACUGGAAUUCCUGGUGUAGCGGUGAAAUGCGCAGAUAUCAGGAGGAACACCAAUAGCGAAGGCAGCUCGCUGGGACGUUACUGACACUGAGGCGCGAAAGCGUGGGGAGCGAACAGG